GUGGGGAAUCUUAGACAAUGGGCGCAAGCCUGAUCUAGCCAUGCCGCGUGAGCGAUGAAGGCCUUAGGGUUGUAAAGCUCUUUCAGCUGGGAAGAUAAUGACGGUACCAGCAGAAGAAGCCCCGGCUAACUCCGUGCCAGCAGCCGCGGUAAUACGGAGGGGGCUAGCGUUGUUCGGAAUUACUGGGCGUAAAGCGCACGUAGGCGGAUCAGAAAGUCAGAGGUGAAAUCCCAGGGCUCAACCUUGGAACUGCCUUUGAAACUCCCAGUCUUGAGUUCGAGAGAGGUGAGUGGAAUUCCGAGUGUAGAGGUGAAAUUCGUAGAUAUUCGGAGGAACACCAGUGGCGAAGGCGGCUCACUGGCUCGAUACUGACGCUGAGGUGCGAAAGCGUGGGGAGCAAACAGGAUUAGAAACCCUGGUAGUCC
rnacentral:rRNA from 1 species